rnacentral:rRNA from 1 species
UAAGGAAUAUUGGGCAAUGGGCGCGAGCCUGACCCAGCCAUGCCGCGUGCAGGAAGACGGCCUUAUGGGUUGUGAACUGCUUUUGUCAGGGGAUAAACCUAUCUACGAGUAGAUAGCUGAAAGUACCUGAAGAAUAAGCAUCGGCUAACUCCGUGCCAGCAGCCGCGGUAAUACGGAGGAUGCGAGCGUUAUCCGGAUUCAUUGGGUUUAAAGGGUGCGCAGGCGGGGCAUUAAGUCAGUGGUGAAAUAAGACGGCUCAACUGUCUGGCUGCCAUUGAUACUCAUGUUCUAGAGUGUAAUUGGAGUGGGCGGAAUGUGUCAUGUAGCGGUGAAAUGCUUAGAUAUGACACAGAACACCGAUCGCGAAGGCAGCUCACUAAGUUAAUACUGACGCUCAUGCACGAAGGCGUGGGGAUCAAACAG